ensembl:miRNA Mir154 microRNA 154
GAAGAUAGGUUAUCCGUGUUGCCUUCGCUUGAUUUGUGACGAAUCAUACACGGUUGACCUACUUUU